AUGGCGCUGCGCUCUAUUCUCCCCAGCCUGGUCGCCGGGCAGCCUCUAGCGCUAGGCCAGCCCCAUCUUCCCCAACGUGGUCACUGGCCAGCCCUCAGCGCAAGGCCCUCCGUUUCCUCUUGGCAUGGCCGAGGUGCUAGGGCACACAGGGAAUUCUCGCACGAAGCUGCAUCUCCUUCCAUCCUGGCUGCAUCUCUCUUCGUCAUCGUAUUCGCUCCACGUCGUUGGGUUCCUCUUCCUCGGUGGGUUCCUCUUUGCCGGUUGGUGCUGUUGAUGGGAGGUUUCUUGCCCAAGAUUCGAGUGCUGAUGAGGCGCGGCUGCGACGCCAGGCACGGCAAGAUAUCCGUCUUGGAAGGAACGUUCGGCCUGUACUUGAAGAGCUGGUUGAUCCUUGUCUUCUUGCUGUUAGAGCUGCAUCUGACGUGGAAGUUUUGUGUCGUCCGUAUUUUACUGCUGGUUGGUUGUAUGGUUCCUCGCGUGGACCGACUCCUUCUGUUCUUCCUACACCUGUUGUUAGUCGUGUUGAUGCUGUUUGGAAUCGUCGGAAGCGAAGGAUUCUUCGAGAUUAUUACACCGGCAAAAAAGAGGUGCGUUUCACGUGUUCGCUCUUAUUAUGGUGGUCCUGAGUAUGUUUGCCCGGCGUGCCAUGCUUCAUUUUGGUUUCUGGAGGGCUGUAAGAGUUAUGCUACUGGUGGUGGUCGCCUUCCAGUGUAUACUGGCUGCUGCAAGGGAGGCAAGGUGUCGUUGCCUUCAUUUCCCGAUUGGCCAUCUCCUCUUAAGGAUUUGAUUAAGUUUGAUGGAGGUCCUGUCUCUAGCCGUUUCAUGCGUUUGAUUAGGCAUUACAAUUCUAUGUUUUGCUUCACAUCUCUUGGCGCUCGAGUUGAUCAGAGUAUUAAUGUUGGCGGGGGUCCCUAUGUCUUCAAGAUGAAUGGGGUGGUUUAUCAUCGUAUUGGUCCUCUUCUUCCUUCGGGGAAUAGUGCGUCAAAGUAUGCUCAGCUUUAUAUGGUGGACUCUGCUGAUGAAGUGCAGUUGAGAAUUAGUGCCUUUGAUCGUCAAGGAGCUGAAAUGCUUGAUCCUGAUCCAGGCAUUGUGGCUUCUCUUAUUGCUAUGUUAAAUAGGCAUCAUAAAUUGGUGCAUAAGUUUAGAAUGGCUAGGGCAAAUCCGUGUUCUCCUUCUGCUCCUAGGGUGGCUAUACAUUUUAUGGGUGAUGAAGGCGGUGGUCAUGGUGACCGUUUUUCUGGUCCUGCUUCAUGUGAGGUGGCUGCUCUUAUUGUCGGCGAUUACACGCCUGAAUGUAAAAGAUUUGAUGUUAUUGCUAAAACUCGCUCUGGUUUUCUUCAGCAUGUCUCUUCGUUGAAUUCGAGUCUUAUUCCCCUACAGUAUCCUCUGUUAUUUCCCUUUGGUGACAAAGGAUUCCAUCUCGGUAUCAAGUAUAUUGCUACUGGUGGGUUUCAUGGAGAUGGGCAUUGUAAUAUUGGUGGACGUUUACGUGGUCGUUCUUCUCGAGGGCAAGUAUCUAUGAUGGAAUAUUAUAAUUAUUACUUCCAUUAUAGACGGGGGGAGCCAAAUCCUUAUACCUGUUGCGGUCGUUUGAGCCAGCAGAUAGGUGUGAAUUCUUAUUCUUGUGUGGAAGCUAAUCGUUUGGACUUUCACUUUCAGCAACAAGAUGAUUUACGUUCUGAGACGUAUCAAGGUAUUACUGAUGCUGUCGGACAGGGUGCAUCAACUGGUGAGAAUUUGGGGAUUCAGUUUAUAUUACAUUCGAGUUUUACAGGUGGCCCUCGGUACAUGGUGCUUAAUUACCAUGAUAGUAUGGCUAUUUGUCGCGAAUAUGGUGCUCCCGAUCUUUUUGUCACUUUUACAUGCAAUCCAAAGUGGCAAGAAGUUGGUGAUGCUCUCGCAUAUGAAGGUGGUCAGACUCACGUUGAUCGUCCUGACAUUGUUACGCGUGUUUUCAAUAUAAAAUUUGAAGAAUUUUUAGAAGAUGUAAAGGAUGGAUCAGCAUUUGGAGCUAUUCAAGCUUAUUUGUAUGUGGUGGAAUUUCAAAAGAGAGGGCUUCCUCAUACUCAUACUCUUAUCUGGCUUAAAGAGAGUACGAAGGAUCCUUCGCCUGCUUUUAUAGAUAAUCUGGUGUGUGCUGAGUUACCAGAUCCAGUGGUUGACCCUUUGGGAUAUAUACUUGUGGAUGAAUUCAUGGUUCACGGCCCAUGUGGUAUUUAUCUGCUUGCGAAUCAUUUUGGAGAAUGUUUGGCUAUGAUAUUCAUGGUCGACAACCUUCUGUCGAGAGAUUAG
rnacentral:rRNA from 1 species